rnacentral:rRNA from 1 species
GAUGAACGCUAGCGGCAGGCCUAACACAUGCAAGUCGAGGGGUAUUAGGAGCUUGCUCCUAAGAGACCGGCGCACGGGUGCGUAACGCGUAUGCAAUCUACCUUGUACAGGGGAAUAGCCCAGAGAAAUUUGGAUUAAUGCCCCAUAGUAUAAUUGAAUCGCAUGGUUUAAUUAUUAAAGUUCCAACGGUACAAGAUGAGCAUGCGUCCCAUUAGUUAGUUGGUAAGGUAACGGCUUACCAAGACUAUGAUGGGUAGGGGUCCUGAGAGGGAGAUCCCCCACACUGGUACUGAGACACGGACCAGACUCCUACGGGAGGCAGCAGUGAGGAAUUUUCCGCAAUGGGCGAAAGCCUGACGGAGCAAUACCGCGUGAAGGAUGAAGGCUCGUGGGUCGUAAACUUCUUUUCUUAAGGAAGAAUCAAUGACGGUACUUAAGGAAUAAGCACCGGCUAACUCUGUG